CAGAGUUGCAAAACUCCCUAAACCAUUGUGAACUUACCUUCAAACCGUUGCUUCGGCGGGCGGGGUCCCCUGUGGCCCCCACCCGGCCCCCCCGUGGGCGCCCGCCGGAGGUCACCCAAACUCUUGAUAUUUUAUGGCCUCUCUGAGUAUUCUGUACUGAAUAAGUCA
rnacentral:misc_RNA from 1 species